rnacentral:misc_RNA from 1 species
UGCGUUAUCUCGCUGUCCCUUUCCUCCGUUGCUUCCCUUUUGGGUUGCAACGGGGACCUCGAAGCAAUCCCCGUGUCCCSUGUAGUCCUCAGCAUUUUGUUGUGGCUGCUGUGGUCCACGAGUGCUUGCUCGUUCUCUCGGAUGCGGAACACUACGCGAGAGUGGGAGUCCACGACCCCCGAUCGCUCGAAAUUGUCCCUUUUACGCGGAAGACGUCCGCAACUGUGCCAACCUUUGCCCCCGGGCUUUUAGGCGUGCGCACAGCUUGCGGUGUC